UUCACCAUAAUGUGACAUAAUAUAUAUUGUUGACAAAGCAACACUAUUAACCGAACUCCGCUCAGAACAAAAUAAAUAAUAAUAAUAAUUAAUAAUAAAUAAUAAUUAUAAUAUAAAGAGAAAAAAAAAUAAUGAUAAUGAUUUAAACUUAUUAACUAAUAAUUUGGUAACUCAUGAUUUCAGUGUUUUGUUUUAGUGUAUUGAUUAAUUUGGUCACAAGUUCGGUUACUUAUUUCUAUAAAAUUGGAAAAAUUCAAAACUGAGUGUUUACAACUGUUUCCAUGCGAUUUUUUAUUAGUUCAGCAUCCGAAAAUGGUUUCAUGCUUUUGGCUAACAAAUGUCUUACUUCAUACGAUACUUUUGUUGCAAUUUCAUUUUUAUUAGUGAACCGUAACAUGGUUGUUUUCAGAAAAAAUUCCUUUUUUUUCAUUCAACUAGUUUUUCUUCUCUUAUUUUAUCUAAAAUAAGAUCUCCCCCUAUCUGGGAGGGGAUAAUUUUUAGAAAAUUCAAUAUUAUGAGUUGUAUAGUGACGAUUAAUAUUAUAACGUUUUAGAAUACUAAAUACUUAUGGUUUUACGACAAAUUAAACAUAAAGCAUCGUGUUUCUUACCAAAAAUACAGAAAAAUUCAAUUUCCCAACUAUUUUGAAAUAUUCUGUGUUCAUUAUCGAUUUUACGUUUUGAACAGCUUACUCACAGAAUUAACUAUUACAACUACAAUACGUAGUAUAAAUAUCAAACGAUAAAAUACAAACGGACAAUAAACGAUGACAGAUAAAUUUUUCAUAUAAGACUACACGAUGGAAAUUAACAAACUCAUAACCGUAUCAUUUAUCUGUUCAACUGGUAAUUCAAUAUAAGUUUAAAAUAGAAAGAUAAAAUAAAUAAAAAUAAUAAGAUAAGUAAAAAAGCGUUGUUUAUUUUAUUCACUGUUUAUAGAAUUUUGGAUUUUAGAAUAGAUAAUUUAAUUUUAGUACGGGUCGCACUAAAUUUGUUAAAGGGCCGCGUGGUGGGGACCGCUGAAUUUUAGUUGAACGUAUAUUUUGUUACAGUGAGCACUCCUUGUCCGUACGGGAGCUCAAUAUUCAGCUACACUGUAUAUUAAGGAUAGUAUUGAGGUCCUCGGGGGGCUUGCGAUACAACCCCAGCUAGUCCCAGCUAGUUUCGAUAUGAUGUUGUUUCACGAUUUUAUUUUGUUUUUAGUUGUUUCUAGGUAUAUUCUAAAAGUUAGGGUCCCGUUGAGUUUAAUACCAAGGUACCUAAAGCAUACUUCAAUUGCAAUAUUGACUUUACCAAUUUUUAGUCAUAGCUCUCUAUUUGCCUCACGGUUGUUCAGAUGCAAGGCCACUGCUGUUGUUUUAUUAGCUUUGUUCAACGUUUACACCGCUGAAAUCGUAGAAACCGAAUCGAGGAAAUUCACUUAUGGCAAACGACAUAGGCCUAGUAGUCCAAAGAAAGUUUUUUGAACAACUAGAAGACAUCUUGAACAAUGAUCUAGUCGUUUUACAAAAUUAUUUCACAAAUUGGUAUCUCAACCUAUAUAGGUUAUUUUCGCGUACAGUUAUUUUCUUCAUUAUUCAAGGGUGCGUGAAAAAUUGACUACCUAAUCAAUAUAAAAUUAUUAUUUAGCGAAAUAUAAUAUAACAAUAUAUUGUAGGUACGAACAAUAAAUAGUGUAUUAUGACUUUGCCCAAAAACUUGGUAAUAUCUAUAGUACCUACCUACUAAUGAUAAACGAUAUCACUUUGGCCGAAGAUGGGCAAGUUUUGGUAAAAAUCUGAGAUUUUAGGUUGAUUUAAUGUUUUAGAUUCCUAAUGGAGAGAGAGAUGUAUUGGUUUUACUAUGAUAAUAUGUGCUUAUUUUUUUUUCAAUUAAUAACUUUUCCACCAGACAUCUCGGCUCUAUAAAAAAAAUAAAAUGAGAGUUUUUGCGUAGAAUAUUUGACCUAGUUGGUGAUCUAGAACAGUGGUUCCCAACCUUAUUGCUAUGGUGACCCACAUAUUUACUAUUUUUUGAAAUGCAACUCACAACAAAAAAAGCUGCCUUAUAAUUUUGGAGUACUGCCACUGUUGUUGGUGGGAAGUUGGGAGUGUA
rnacentral:lncRNA from 1 species